rnacentral:rRNA from 1 species
CCUACGGGUGGCAGCAGUGAGGAAUAUUGGUCAAUGGACGAGAGUCUGAACCAGCCAAGUAGCGUGAAGGAUGACUGCCCUAUGGGUUGUAAACUUCUUUUAUAAAGGAAUAAAACGAGGCACGUGUGCCUUGUUGCAUGUACUUUAUGAAUAAGGAUCGGCUAACUCCGUGCCAGCAGCCGCGGUAAUACGGAGGAUCCGAGCGUUAUCCGGAUUUAUUGGGUUUAAAGGGAGCGUAGAUGGGUUGUUAAGUCAGUUGUGAAAGUUUGCGGCUUAACCGUAAAAUUGCAAUUGAUACUGGCAGUCUCGAGUACAGUUGAGGUAGGCGGAAUACGUGGUGUAGCGGUGAAAUGCUUAGAUAUCACGAAGAACCCCGAUUGCGAAGGCAGCUUACCAAACUGUGACUGACAUUGAUGCUCGAGAGUGUGGGUAUCAAACAGGAUUAGAUACCCGAGUAGUC